AGAGUUUGAUCCUGGCUCAGGACGAACGCUGGCGGCGUGCUUAACACAUGCAAGUCGAACGAAGAGCGAUGGAAGCUUGCUUCUAUCAAUCUUAGUGGCGAACGGGUGAGUAACGCGUAAUCAACCUGCCCUUCAGAGGGGGACAACAGUUGGAAACGACUGCUAAUACCGCAUACGAUCUAACCUCGGCAUCGAGGAAAGAUGAAAGGUGGCCUCUAUUUAUAAGCUAUCACUGAAGGAGGGGAUUGCGUCUGAUUAGCUAGUUGGAGGGGUAACGGCCCACCAAGGCGAUGAUCAGUAGCCGGUCUGAGAGGAUGAACGGCCACAUUGGGACUGAGACACGGCCCAGACUCCUACGGGAGGCAGCAGUGGGGAAUCUUCCGCAAUGGACGAAAGUCUGACGGAGCAACGCCGCGUGAGUGAUGACGGCCUUCGGGUUGUAAAGCUCUGUUAAUCGGGACGAAAGGCCUUCUUGCGAACAGUUAGAAGGAUUGACGGUACCGGAAUAGAAAGCCACGGCUAACUACGUGCCAGCAGCCGCGGU
rnacentral:rRNA from 1 species